rnacentral:rRNA from 1 species
GACGAACGCUGGCGGCGUGCCUAAUACAUGCAAGUAGAACGCUGAAGGAGGAGCUUGCUUCUCUGGAUGAGUUGCGAACGGGUGAGUAACGCGUAGGUAACCUGCCUGGUAGCGGGGGAUAACUAUUGGAAACGAUAGCUAAUACCGCAUAAUAGUAGAUGUUGCAUGACAUUUGCCUAAAAGGUGCAAUUGCAUCACUACCAGAUGGACCUGCGUUGUAUUAGCUAGUUGGUGGGGUAACGGCUCACCAAGGCGACGAUACAUAGCCGACCUGAGAGGGGGGUCGGCCACACUGGGACUGAGACACGGCCCAGACUCCUACGGGAGGCAGCAGUAGGGAAUCUUCGGCAAUGGACGGAAGUCUGACCGAGCAACGCCGCGUGAGUGAAGAAGGUUUUCGGAUCGUAAAGCUCUGUUGUAAGAGAAGAACGAGUGUGAGAGUGGAAAGUUCACACUGUGACGGUAUCUUACCAGAAAGGGACGGCUAACUACGUG